rnacentral:rRNA from 1 species
AGUGAACGCUGGCGGUAGGCCUAACACAUGCAAGUCGAACGGCAGCACAGGAGAGCUUGCUCUCUGGGUGGCGAGUGGCGGACGGGUGAGGAAUACAUCGGAAUCUACUCUGUCGUGGGGGAUAACGUAGGGAAACUUACGCUAAUACCGCAUACGACCUACGGGUGAAAGCAGGGGACCUUCGGGCCUUGCGCGAUUGAAUGAGCCGAUGUCGGAUUAGCUAGUUGGCGGGGUAAAGGCCCACCAAGGCGACGAUCCGUAGCUGGGCUGAGAGGAUGACCAGCCACAAUGGGACGGAGAAGCGGGCCAAACUCCUACGGGAGGAAGCAGUGGGGAAUAUUGGACAAUGGGCGAAAGCCUGUUCCAGCCAUACCGCGUGGGUGAAGAAGGCCUUCGGGUUGUAAAGCCCUUUUGUUGGGAAAGAAAUCCAGCUGGCUAAUACCCGGUUGGGAUGACGGUACCCAAAGAAUAAGCACCGGCUAACUUCGUGCCAGCCGCCGCGGUAA